GGACCGGUUGAGUACAGCUACUUUCAUAGGAGGAAGAAUGGGGGAAGAAAGCAAGCGAGCAAUAUACCUCCACCAGGGAGCACAGUGGAGGCACAGGGCUUGUAGGAGACCUGUCACGAAGCUUGACUCCUUCUGCUCACACAGGAACUUGAGGCCAAAUCCCUAUGAGCUGCUCCUCCUGUGCGUAAUCCCAUCUCCUGCAAAAACCCCAUUGAUGGCGGCCGCCAGCAUCCAGCCCAACGCAGGACGCCGAGGACGGGCGUCCAUCCAGCACGACAAGGGAUGCUGGAAGAGAUCCCUGCCGGGUACAGCUCCAUCUGCCUCUGACACUGCCUGGGCUCCAUGGACGGACAGCACCAGCACCUCGCGAGAGGAGCCGAGGAGUUUACCAACGUGCCCUAAUACAUCCUGA
rnacentral:lncRNA from 1 species